rnacentral:rRNA from 1 species
UACGAAGGGGGCUAGCGUUGUUCGGAUUUACUGGGCGUAAAGCGCACGUAGGCGGACUAUUAAGUCAGAGGUGAAAGCCCAGGGCUCAACCCUGGAAUUGCCUUUGAUACUGGGGACUCUGAGUCCGGGAGAGGUGAGUGGAACUGCGAGUGUAGAGGUGAAAUUCGUAGAUAUUCGCAAGAACACCAGUGGCGAAGGCGGCUCACUGGCCCGGUACUGACGCUGAGGUGCGAAAGCGUGGGGAGCAAACAGG